UUGAUGUAGAUGGAAAUAUCAAAAGCUAUGUACCACUUGACCCUC
rnacentral:sRNA from 1 species